GACGAACGCUGGCGGCGUGCCUAAUACAUGCAAGUCGAACGCAGUUGCGAACGGGUGAGUAACGCGUAUGUAACUCCCUGGUAGCGGGUGAUAACUAUUGGUAACGAUAGCUAAUACCGCAUACUACCAGAUGGACCUUCGUUGUAUUAGCUAGUUGGUGGGGUAACGGCUCACCAAGGCAACGAUACAUCGCCGACCUGCGAGGGUGAACGGCCAACAUGGGACUGGGAAACGGGCCAAGAUCCUACGGGGAGCAGCAGGAGGGAAACGUCGGACAUGGGGGGAAGGCUGGCCAAGGAACGGCGCGGGAGUGAAGAAGGUUUUCGGAGCGUAAAGAUCUGUUGGAAGAGAAGCGGUAUCUAACCAGAAAGGGACGGCUAACUACGUGCCAGCAGCCGCGGUAAUAC
rnacentral:rRNA from 1 species